rnacentral:rRNA from 1 species
AGGGGCAGCAUGAACUUAGCUUGCUAAGUUUGAUGGCGACCGGCGCACGGGUGAGUAACACGUAUCCAACCUUCCGUUUACUCAGGGAUAGCCUUUCGAAAGAAAGAUUAAUACCUGAUAGUAUGGUGAGAUUGCAUGAUAGCAUCAUUAAAGAUUUAUUGGUAAACGAUGGGGAUGCGUUCCAUUAGGUUGUUGGCGGGGUAACGGCCCACCAAGCCUUCGAUGGAUAGGGGUUCUGAGAGGAAGGUCCCCACAUUGGAACUGAGACACGGUCCAAACUCC